GUUGUAAGAACCGAACCGAUGAUCGAACCGGUCAGGUUACUGGUUCACUGGUUUAUUGGUUCAACCGAUAAACCGCUGGUUGAACCGGUAAAACCGGUUUCACAUAAAUAAAAAAUAUAAAAUACUAAAAAUAGUCAUAAACUUAAUAAAUUCAACAUUAUGUUGCAUUUCCGUUUCUUCAAGGCUAUACUCAAAACUAAUCUUCAAAGGAUUAAAAUACCCAAUAAGUUUUCAAGGAGACAUGGAAGCGCUCUUUCAAAUCCAGUGUUUCUUAAGCCUCCAGAUGGCACUCUAUGGAAAGUGUAUUGGACAAAAAAGAAUAGUGAUGAAGUUUGGUUUGUAAAAGGAUGGAAGGAAUUUACCAAAAACUACUCUCUUAAUGAAGGACAUUUAGUUGUGUUUAAAUAUGAAGAAACUUCUCAGUUUGAUGUAAUCAUACUUGAGAUAAAUGAUCUAGAAAGGGUUGGUG